UAGCUCAGUUGGCAGAGCAGCGGCCUUUUAAGCCGUUGGUCGCAGGUUCGAUUCCUG
rnacentral:tRNA from 1 species